UACGUAGGGGGCUAGCGUUGUCCGGAAUCAUUGGGCGUAAAGCGCGUGUAGGCGGUCCGGUAAGUCCGCUGUGAAAGUCGGGGGCUCAACCCUGGGAUGCCGGUGGAUACUGUCGGACUAGAGUACGGAAGAGGCGAGUGGAAUUCCCGGUGUAGCGGUGAAAUGCGCAGAUAUCGGGAGGAACACCAAUUGCGAAGGCAGCUCGCUGGGACGUCACUGACGCUGAGACGCGAAAGCGUGGGGAGCAAACAGG
rnacentral:rRNA from 1 species